rnacentral:rRNA from 1 species
GAUGAACGCUGGCGGCGUGCUUAACACAUGCAAGUCGAACGAACUUAUCGCCUGACUAGCAAUAGGAGGGAGGUAGGUUAGUGGCGCACGGGUGCGUAACACGUGGGUGACCUGCCCAGAAGUGGGGAAUAACUACCCGAAAGGAUAGCUAAUACCGCAUGCGAUCUGUCAUUCAUUUGGCAGCUCAAAGGCUCGUAAGAGUCGCUUUUGGAUGGGCCCGCGGCCGAUUAGGUAGUUGGUGGGGUAAUGGCUUACCAAGCCGAUGAUCGGUAGGGGGCGUGAGAGCGUGACCCCCCA